UUUGGGGAAUGAUGCCAAGUAUCAAAAUAUUUGCCUGAGCACUUGCUAUGCUAAGUGGUUCUUAUAUUUUGCACGUCAGUCUGAUCCCUUU